rnacentral:rRNA from 1 species
GAUGAACGCUGGCAGAAUGCUUAACACAUGCAAGUCUACUUGAUUCUACUUCGGUAGUUGUUGGUGGCGGACGGGUGAGUAACGCGUAAAGAAUCUGCCCUUUAGUUUGGGAUAACCUUUGGAAACGAAGGCUAAUACCGGAUAUUAUGGAGACGUCGCAUGACGACUCCAUGAAAGCUAUAUGCGCUAGAGGAGGACUUUGCGUCCCAUUAGUUAGUUGGUGAGGUAAUGGCUCACCAAGACCGCGAUGGGUAGCCGGCCUGAGAGGGUGAUCGGCCACAAGGGAACUGAGACACGGUCCUUACUCCUACGGGAGGCAGCAGUGGGGAAUAUUGGACAAUGGGCCACAAGCCUGAUCCAGCAAUUCUGUGUGCACGAUGAAGGUCUUCGGAUUGUAAAGUGCUUUCAGUAGGGAAGAAAAAAAUGACGGUACCUACAGAAGAAGCGACGGCUAAAUAUGUGCCAGCAGCCGCAGUAA